CACGUAGGGCGCAAGCGUUGUCCGGAAUUAUUGGGCGUAAAGAGCUCGUAGGUGGCCUGUUGCGUCCGCUGUGAAAACUCAGGGCUUAACCCUGAGCCGGCAGUGGAUACGGGCAGGCUAGAGGUAGGUAGGGGAGAAUGGAAUUCCUGGUGUAGCGGUGAAAUGCGCAGAUAUCAGGAAGAACACCAAUGGCGAAGGCAGCUCUCUGGGACGGUACUGACACUGAGACGCGAAAGCGUGGGGAGCGAACAGG
rnacentral:rRNA from 1 species